UACGAAGGGGGCUAGCGUUGCUCGGAAUCACUGGGCGUAAAGCGCACGUAGGCGGCUUGUUAAGUCAGGGGUGAAAUCCUGGAGCUCAACUCCAGAACUGCCUUUGAUACUGGCGAGCUUGAGUCCGGGAGAGGUGAGUGGAACUGCGAGUGUAGAGGUGAAAUUCGUAGAUAUUAGGAAGAACACCGGUGGCGAAGGCGGCCCACUGGAUCGGUACUGACGCUCAUGCACGAAAGCGUGGGGAGCAAACAGG
rnacentral:rRNA from 1 species